rnacentral:rRNA from 1 species
CGUACGUACCCGAUUACCGCGUGACGACCAGCCACACUGGAACUGAGACACGGUCCAGACUCCUACGGGAGGCAGCAGUGGGGAAUUUUGGACAAUGGGGGCAACCCUGAUCCAGCCAUUCCGCGUGAGUGAAGAAGGCCUUCGGGUUGUAAAGCUCUUUCAGCAGGAACGAAACGGCUCUCUCUAACAUAGGGAGUUAAUGACGGUACCUGAAGAAGAAGCACCGGCUAACUACGUGCCAGCAGCCGCGGUAAUACGUAGGGUGCGAGCGUUAAUCGGAAUUACUGGGCGUAAAGCGUGCGCAGGCGGCGCCAUAAGACAGAUGUGAAAUCCCCGGGCUUAACCUGGGAACUGCGUUUGUGACUGUGGUGCUCGAGUGUGGCAGAGGGGGGUGGAAUUCCACGUGUAGCAGUGAAAUGCGUAGAGAUGUGGAGGAACACCGAUGGCGAAGGCAGCCCCCUGGGUCAACACUGACGCUCAUGCACGAAAGCGUGGGGAGCAAACAGGAUUAGAUACCCUGGUAGUCCACGCCCUAAACGAUGCGAACUAGGUGUUGGGGAAGGAGACUUUCUUAGUACCGCAGCUAACGCGUGAAGUUCGCCGCCUGGGGAGUACGGUCGCAAGAUUAAAACUCAAAGGAAUUGACGGGGACCCGCACAAGCGGUGGAUGAUGUGGAUUAAUUCGAUGCAACGCGAAAAACCUUACCUACCCUUGACAUGCCAGGAAGUCCGCUGAGAAGUGGAUGUGCCCGAAAGGGAACCUGGACACAGGUGCUGCAUGGCUGUCGUCAGCUCGUGUCGUGAGAUGUUGGGUUAAGUCCCGCAACGAGCGCAACCCUUGUCAUUAAUUGCCAUCAUUCAGUUGGGCACUUUAAUGAGACUGCCGGUGACAAACUGGAGGAAGGUGGGGAUGACGUCAAGUCCUCAUGGCCCUUAUGGGUAGGGCUUCACACGUCAUACAAUGGUCGGUACAGAGGGUUGCCAACCCGCGAGGGGGAGCCAAUCCCACAAAGCCGAUCGUAGUCCGGAUCGCAGUCUGCAACUCGACUGCGUGAAGUCGGAAUCGCUAGUAAUCGUGGAUCAGCAUGUCACGGUGAAUACGUUCCCGGGUCUUGUACACACCGCCCGUCACACCAUGGGAGUGGGUUCCACCAGAAGUAGGUAGUCUAACCGCAAGGAGGGCGCUUACCACGGUGGGAUUCAUGACUGGGGU